UAGCUAGUUGGUGAGGUAACGGCUCACCAAGGCGACGAUGNGUAGCCGACCUGAGAGGGUGAUCGGCCACACUGGGNAUGAGACACGGCCCAGACUCUACGGGAGGCAGCAGUAGGGAAUCUUCCGCAAUGGACGAAAGUCUGACGGAGCAACGCCGCGUGAGUGAUGAAGGUNUUCGGAUCGUAAAGCUCUGUUGUUAGGGAAGAACAAGUGCAAGAGUAACUGCUUGCACCUUGACGGUACCUAACCAGAAAGCCACGGCUAACUACGUGCCAGCAGCCGCGGUAAUACGUAGGUGGCAAGCGUUGUCCGGAAUUAUUGGGCGUAAAGGGCUCGCAGGCGGUUUCUUAAGUCUGAUGUGAAAGCCCCCGGCUCAACCGGGGAGGGUCAUUGGAAACUGGGAAACUUGAGUGCAGAAGAGGAGAGUGGAAUUCCACGUGUAGCGGUGAAAUGCGUAGAGAUGUGGAGGAACACCAGUGGCGAAGGCGACUCUCUGGUCUGUAACUGACGCUGAGGAGCGAAAGCGUGGGGAGCGAACAGGAUUAGAUACCCUGGUAGUCCACGCCGUAAACGAUGAGUGCUAAGUGUUAGGGGGUUUCCGCCCCUUAGUGCUGCAGCUAACGCAUUAAGCACUCCGCCUGGGGAGUACGGUCGCAAGACUGAAACUCAAAGGAAUUGACGGGGGCCCGCACAAGCGGUGGAGCAUGUGGUUUAAUUCGAAGCAACGCGAAGAACCUUACCAGGUCUUGACAUCCUCUGACAACCCUAGAGAUAGGGCUUUCCCUUCGGGGACAGAGUGA
rnacentral:rRNA from 1 species